rnacentral:rRNA from 1 species
AGGAUAAACGCUGGCGGCGUGCCUAACACAUGCAAGUCGAACGCGCUUUCGGGCUUCGGUGCGAGAGCGAGUGGCGGACGGGUGAGUAACACAUGGGUACCUACCUUGGAGUGAGGGAUACCGGCGAGAAAUCGCCGACAAUACCGCAUAGGCUUCUUCACAAGGGAAGCAAAGUGACGCGAGUCACGCUGUGAGAUGGGCCUGUGGCCGAUUAGCUAGUUGGGGGGGUAACGGCUUCCCAAGGCGACGAUCGGUAGCUGGUCUGAGAGGACGAUCAGCCACACUGGGAUUGAGAACGGCCCAGACUCCUACGGGGGGCAGCAGUGAGGAAUCUUCCGCAAUGGGGGCAACCCUGACGGAGCAACGCCGCGUGCAGGAGGACGCUUUUCGGAGUGUAAACUGCUUUUCUCGAGGAAGAAGUCGGACGGUACUCGAGGAAGAAGCCCCGGCUAACUACGCGCCAGCAGCCGC